ACACUCCUGCGGGAGGCAGCAGUGGGGAAUAUUGCACAAUGGGCGCAAGCCUGAUGCAGCCAUGCCGCGUGUGUGAAGAAGGCCUUCGGGUUGUAAAGCACUUUCAGCGGGGAGGAAGGCGAUACGGUUAAUAACCGUGUUGAUUGACGUUACCCGCAGAAGAAGCACCGGCUAACUCCGUGCCAGCAGCCGCGGUAAUACGGAGGGUGCAAGCGUUAAUCGGAAUUACUGGGCGUAAAGCGCACGCAGGCGGUCUGUCAAGUCGGAUGUGAAAUCCCCGGGCUCAACCUGGGAACUGCAUUCGAAACUGGCAGGCUUGAGUCUUGUAGAGGGGGGUAGAAUUCCAGGUGUAGCGGUGAAAUGCGUAGAGAUCUGGAGGAAUACCGGUGGCGAAGGCGGCCCCCUGGACAAAGACUGACGCUCAGGUGCGAAAGCGUGGGGAGCAAACAGGAUUAGAUACCCCGGUAGUCCCAUG
rnacentral:rRNA from 1 species